rnacentral:tRNA from 1 species
UCCUGAUGGCUCAGAGGUUAAAGCGUCUGCCUCCAAUGCAGGAGACCCAGGUUCGAUCCCUGGGUUGGGAA